AUAAAUUUAACUAAAUAAUUUUUUUCGUCGCUUAAUAUUUUUCCUACACAAAAUAUUCACACCAACUUUUAUAUUUAUAAAUUUUUCCUACUUUUAUACUAUUUCAAUUCUUAUAAUUUUUUUGUCCCAACACACUAUAUAUAUUAAAAUUUUUUUACAUAGUAAGGAGGGUAUUAAGCCCUAAAGCAAAACCACGAGGCCAUAUAACCCCAACAGCAUCGGCUUGCAAGCAAUAACGAGCUUCCACACGAAGACAUCAAUUGAC
rnacentral:lncRNA from 1 species